AGCGAACGCUGGCGGCAGGCCUAAUACAUGCAAGUCGAACGGCUCUUCGGAGCAGUGGCGGACGGGUGAGUAACGCGUGGGAAUGUGCCCUUAGGUACGGAACAACACAGGGAAACUUGUGCUAAUACCGUAUGUGCCCUUCGGGGGAAAGAUUUAUCGCCUUUGGAGCAGCCCGCGUUGGAUUAGCUAGUUGGUGAGGUAAAGGCUCACCAAGGCGACGAUCCAUAGCUGGUCUGAGAGGAUGAUCAGCCACACUGGGACUGAGACACGGCCCAGACUCCUACGGGAGGCAGCAGUAGGGAAUCUUGCGCAAUGGGCGAAAGCCUGACGCAGCCAUGCCGCGUGUAUGAUGAAGGUCUUGGGAUUGUAAAAUACUUUCACCGGGGAAGAUAAUGACGGUACCCGGAGAAGAAGCCCCGGCUAACUUCGUGCCAGCAGCCGCGGUAAGAC
rnacentral:rRNA from 1 species